GUAGGUGGCAAGCGUUGUCCGGAAUUAUUGGGCGUAAAGCGCGCGCAGGCGGUCCUUUAAGUCUGAUGUGAAAGCCCACGGCUCAACCGUGGAGGGUCAUUGGAAACUGGGGGACUUGAGUACAGAAGAGGAAAGCGGAAUUCCAAGUGUAGCGGUGAAAUGCGUAGAGAUUUGGGGGAACACCAGUGGCGAAGGCGGCUUUCUGGUCUGUAACUGACGCUGAGGCGCGAAAGCGUGGGGAGCAAACAGGAUUAGAUACCCUGGUAGUCCACGCCGUAAACGAUGAGUGCUAAGUGUUAGGGGGUUUCCCGCCCCCUUAGUGCUGCAGCUAACGCAUUAAGCACUCCGCCUGGGGAGUACGGCCGCAAGGCUG
rnacentral:rRNA from 1 species